GAUGAACGCUGGCGGCCUGCCUAAUACAUGCAAGUCGAGCGAACAGAUAAGGAGCUUGCUCCUUUGACGUUAGCGGCGGACGGGUGAGUAACACGUGGGUAACCUACCUAUAAGACUGGAAUAACUCCGGGAAACCGGGGCUAAUGCCGGAUAACAUUUAGAACCGCAUGGUUCUAAAGUGAAAGAUGGUUUUGCUAUCACUUAUAGUUGGACCCGCGCCGUAUUAGCUAGUUGGUAAGGUAACGGCUUACCAAGGCAACGAUACGUAGCCGACCUGAGAGGGUGAUCGGCCACACUGGGACUGAGACACGGUCCAGACUCCUACGGGAGGCAGCAGUAGGGAAUCUUCCGCAAUGGGCGAAAGCCUGACGGAGCAACGCCGCGUGAGUGAUGAAGGGUUUCGGCUCGUAAAACUCUGUUAUUAGGGAAGAACAAACGUGUAAGUAACUGUGCACGUCUUGACGGUACCUAAUCAGAAAGCCACGGCUAACCACGUGCCAGCAGCCGCCGCAGUAAGAC
rnacentral:rRNA from 1 species